UACAGAGGUCUCAAGCGUUGUUCGGAAUUAUUGGGCGUAAAGGGCUCGUAGGCGGUUUGUCGCGUCGGGAGUGAAAUCAUCUGGCUUAACUGGGUGCUUGCUUUCGAUACGGGCAGACUAGAGGUAUGCAGGGGAGAACGGAAUUCCUGGUGUAGCGGUGAAAUGCGCAGAUAUCAGGAGGAACACCGGUGGCGAAGGCGGAUCUCUGGGCCAUUACUGACGCUGAGGAGCGAAAGCGUGGGGAGCGAACAGG
rnacentral:rRNA from 1 species